rnacentral:rRNA from 1 species
AGAGUUUGAUCCUGGCUCAGGAUUAACGCUGGCGGCAUGCCUAAUACAUGCAAGUCGAACGGAAAAUAUAUAGAUGCUUGCAUUUAGAUAUUUUUAGUGGCGAACGGGUGAGUAAUAUAUAGAUAACCUACCUUUAAGUUGGGGAUAACAGAGGGAAACUUUUGCUAAUACCGAAUAAAAUAAUUAGACGCAUGUUUAAUUAUUAAAAGGGGCUCCAAAGCCCCGCUCGAAGAGGGGUCUAUAUCGCAUUAGCUAGUUGGUAAGAUAACAGCCUACCAAGGCGAUGAUGCGUAGCUGUACUGAGAGGUAGAACAGCCACAUUGGGACUGAGAUACGGCCCAAACUCCUACGGGAGGCAGCAGUAGGGAAUUUUCGGCAAUGGGGGGAACCCUGACCGAGCAAUGCCGCGUGAUUGAAGAAGAUCUUCGGAUCGUAAAGAUCUGUUAUUAGGGAAGAAUAUUCAGAAGAGGAAAUGCUUUUGAGUUGACGGUGCCUAAUGAGGAAGCCCCGGCUAACUAUGUGCCAGCAGCCGCGGUAAUACAUAGGGGGCGAGCGUUAUCCGGAAUUAUUGGGCGUAAAGGGUACGUAGGCGGGCCUGCAAGUCUGAUUUGAAAGCACACGGCUUAACCGUGUGAGGUAAUUAGAAACUACGGGUCUAGAGAGUGGUAGAGGUAAAUGGAAUUCCAAGUGGAGCGGUGGAAUGCGUAGAGAUUUGGAGGAACACCAGUGGCGAAGGCGGUUUACUGGGCCACAUCUGACGCUGAUGUACGAAAGCGUGGGGAGCAAACAGGAUUAGAUACCCUGGUAGUCCACGCCGUAAACGAUGAGUGCUAAGUAUCGGUAGAAUCGGUGCUCAAGCUAACGCAGUAAGCACUCCGCCUGGGGAGUACGGUCGCAAGACUGAAACUCAAAGGAAUUGACGGGGACUCGCACAAGCGGUGGAGCAUGCGGUUUAAUUCGAUGCAACGCGAAGAACCUUACCAGGUCUUGACAGUGUAAAGAAUACUUAAGAGAUUAAGGGCUAAGAAUUAAGCUUGCUUAUUUCACUUUAUAAACAGGUGGUGCAUGGUUGUCGUCAGCUCGUGUCGUGAGAUGUUGGGUUAAGUCCCGCAACGAGCGCAACCCUUAUCAUUAGUUGCUAACAGUAAGAUGAGCACUCUAAUGAGACCGCCGGCGCAAGCCGGAUGAAGGUGGGGAUGACGUCAAAUCAUCAUGCCCCUUAUGACCUGGGCUACACGCGUGCUACAAUGGCUAAUACAAAGAGUUGCAAAACCGUGAGGUAGAGCUAAUCUCAUAAAGUUAGUCUCAGUUCGGAUUGUAGUCUGCAACUCGACUACAUGAAGUUGGAAUCGCUAGUAAUCGUAAAUCAGAAUGUUACGGUGAAUACGUUCUCGAGUCUUGUACACACCGCCCGUCACACCAUGAGAGUUUAUAAUACCCGAAGCCGGUGGCCUAACCGCAAGGGGGGAGCCGUCUAAGGUAGGAUAAAUGAUUGGGGUGAAGUCGUAACAAGGUAUCC